GGUACCCAAAGGAAUAAGCACCGGCUAACUUCGUGCCAGCAGCCGCGGUAAUACGAAGGGUGCAAGCGUUACUCGGAAUUACUGGGCGUAAAGCGUGCGUAGGUGGUCGUUUAAGUCCGUUGUGAAAGCCCUGGGCUCAACCUGGGAACUGCAGUGGAUACUGGGCGACUAGAAUGUGGUAGAGGGUAGCGGAAUUCCUGGUGUAGCAGUGAAAUGCGUAGAGAUCAGGAGGAACAUCCAUGGCGAAGGCAGCUACCUGGACCAACAUUGACACUGAGGCACGAAAGCGUGGGGAGCAAACAGGAUUAGAUACCCUGGUAGUCCACGCCCUAAACGAUGCGAACUGGAUGUUGGGUGCAAUUUGGCACGCAGUAUCGAAGCUAACGCGUUAAGUUCGCCGCCUGGGGAGUACGGUCGCAAGACUGAAACUCAAAGGAAUUGACGGGGGCCCGCACAAGCGGUGGAGUAUGUGGUUUAAUUCGAUGCAACGCGAAGAACCUUACCUGGCCUUGACAUGUCGAGAACUUUCCAGAGAUGGGAUUGGUGCCUUCGGGAACUCGAACACAGGUGCUGCAUGGCUGUCGUCA
rnacentral:rRNA from 1 species